CCCAGGAAGGUUGGGUUUUGUCUUAACUAAAAUUUCUGGGAAGAAACAUAAAACUAAUUUGACCCCACAGCUGUCUGCAUCAUCCUGGUUGGUGGGACUGGGUGGCGCCCAGCAGGGGCAGCAGCCAGUGGAUUCUACACAGAAAGUGAGGUUCCAGCAGCUGAACUGGUCGCUGAGGAAAUUAAUUUACCCAGCACAGAUGAAAGCAGCAGAAGCAAAAGACAAAGAGGAUCUCCAGAAGAGGGAAGCUGUUUAGUGCAAAAAUAACAAAAGCAGAUGGAAGGGCAAGGAUCUUCAGCAUCAGUCUGGAAUGCAGCUUGUUCGGAAGUCCUGCUGUCAUGCUUACGGCAGCCUGCUUUUUCAAGGGAGGCCAGCCAAGCAGGCAUUUGUCAUGCAAAGAGCAGAGAUAGAACAAGAUCCACAAAAGGAACAUUAAGAGCACAAAAUCAGGCCAAGUGGCAAUAACCGUGACCUGCUGGGAAGCAGUAGCAGCACCUGGGAGAAAGUUCAUUAGGUGUGAUGGUGCAAGAAAAUGUUCCUGAGAAACUUUGAUCACAAAGAAGAUGUCUAGGGGAACCCUGGGUGGCUCAAUGGUUUAGUGCCUGCCUUCGGCCCACGGCAUGAUCCUGGAGUCCCAGGAUCGAGUCCCACAUCAUGCUCCCUGCAUGGAGCCUGCUUCUCCCUCUGUCUGUG